ACGCCGCCUCUGCCGCUCUCGUCAGUCGUCACCCCCCUCGCGCUCGCACCAUCGCCGCCAUUCUGCCGGUCAUCUGAAGCUCCGCUGAGCCGCUGACCCCCGCCGAGCUCCACUGGUUUUGCCCGCGAAGCCGCUGACCCCCGCCGAGCUCGCACCUGAGCACCGACGCCGCCUCCGUUCGAUCGCCUAAUUCCACCUGCUGCUAUUGCCUCGCCGACGCCCCUGACCCGCAAAUCUCACGUCCGCAAAUCUCCCCUGCUGCCGAUCUACCGCCGCCCAAACGACGCCCCUCCUGCUCUGCUCGCUGACACCAGCUGAAGCCGCGUCGAUCCUUGCCGCCCUCACCAGCCGCGAUACCAGCAGCCUGUCGAAUCCACUGCUGAGCUGAUCUGCGUCGACCCGACGUCGCCGCGUCCCACCGAGCCCCCUGCUGCAGCGCCUCGCCUGCGCUGCCCUCCCCUGCAAAGCCACUGCUGCCCUUGCUGCUGGGUCCUCCUCUGCUCGACGCCCGACAGAUCUGCUCCGAG
rnacentral:lncRNA from 1 species